ensembl:lncRNA
AAAAAUCAGGCUGGAACAGGCCAAAAAUCACCUUAAAAAAUCUCUAAAAAUCACCUUGAAAUAGCCCAAAAAUCACCUUAAAAUAGGCCAAAAAUCACCUUAAGAAAGCUCCAAAAAUCACCUUAAAAAAGCUCCAAAAAUUACCUUGAAAUAGCCUCAAAAAUUACCUUAAAGUUGCCCAAAAUUCACCCUGAAACAGCCCCAAAACCUCUCAAAAAACCUGCAAAAAAAUUCCCCAAAAUCCCCAAAACCUUCAACAACCCCAAACCAGCUCCAAAAACUCGAACAAACCUGAAAAAAAACCAAGAAAAACUCAAAAAAAAAAUCAAAAAAAAUCCCACAAAAAUUCAAAAUAAAUCCCAAAAAAAUCCCCAAAAAUCCCCAAACAAUCCCAAAAAAAACCCCAAAAAUAAAAAAAAUCCUAAAAAACCAAAAAAAAUCCCAAAAAAAUCUCCAAAAAUUCAAAAUAAAACCCAAAAAAAAUCCCCCCAAAAAUCCCCCAAAAAUACAAAAAAAUCCCCAAAAAAUCCCAAAAAAUCCCAAAAAAAUCCCCAAAAAAGCCAAAAAUCCAAAAAAAAUCCCCCAAAAAUCCCCAAAACAAUCCUAAAAAAGCCAAAAAAAAUCCCCAAAAAAUCCCCCCAAAAAUCCUAAAAAAUCCAAAAAAAAUCCCCAAAAAAUCCCCCCAAAAUUCCAAAAAAUCCCCAAAAAUCCCAAAAAAAUCCCAAAAAAAAUCCCAAAAAAGUCCCAAAAAACCCAAAAAAAUCCCCAAAAAAAUCCCAAAAAAUCCCCCAAAAAAUCCCCAAAAAUCCCCCAAAAAAUCCCAAAAAAGUCCCCAAAAAAUCCCAAAAAAAUCCCAAAAAAUCCCAAAAAAUCCCCCCAAAAUUCCCCAAAAAAUCCCCAAAAAUCCCCAAAAAAUCCCAAAAUAUCCCAAAAAAUCCUGUUUUUUUUAUUUUUCCCUUUCCCAGGUAACAACAUGCUGCUGGUGGGGGUCCAGGGACCCCGGAACCCCUGCGAGGAGAUCGUGGUCAAGCACUUGGGCAACCAACUCUACAACGUGGGCUACCUGCUGCGGGAGCGCGGCGACUACGUGCUCGUGGUCAAGUGGGGCGAGCAGCACGUGCCCAACAGCCCCUUCCGCGUCUCCGUGCCCUGAGAGGCCCCAAAAAAACCCCCUGGGGGUCCCCAAAAUCUGCGAGAAGUUCCCCAGAGUCGGUGAAAGUUCCCAAAAGUUCAUCAGAGUUCUUGGAAGUUCCUCAAAGUUCUCCAAACUUGGCCAAAAGUUCCUCAAACUUGGCCAAAAGUCCCUCAAAGUUGGUGAAGGUUCCUCAAAGUUCCUGAAACAUGACCCAAAGUCCCUCAAACGUGGCCAAAAAAUCUCUCAAAGUUGGCCAAAAGUUCCCCAGAAAUGGUGAAAGUUCCCAAAAGUUCAUCAAAGUUCUCCAAACUUGGCCAAAAGUCCCUCAGAAUUGGGCAAAGUUCCUCAAAAUUGGCCAAAAGUCCCUUAAAUUGGCCAA